rnacentral:rRNA from 1 species
UACGUAGGGUGCAAGCGUUAAUCGGAAUUACUGGGCGUAAAGCGUGCGCAGGCGGUUGUGUAAGACAGAUGUGAAAUCCCCGGGCUUAACCUGGGAACUGCAUUUGUGACUGCACAGCUGGAGUGCGGCAGAGGGGGAUGGAAUUCCGCGUGUAGCAGUGAAAUGCGUAGAUAUGCGGAGGAACACCGAUGGCGAAGGCAAUCCCCUGGGCCUGCACUGACGCUCAUGCACGAAAGCGCGGGGAGCAAACAGG